ensembl:lncRNA
UGCAUAGAUUACAAUGGAGCUUGAAAAUGUGAUCACCUUGCUUAUAUACAGCAGCAUAGCAAUGGAGAUUUCAGGUUAUGCAACUGUUUGUUUGCACUGCUUAUCUGAGUGCUGAAUCUGGCCUUGAACUGGAAAAGGAUGAAAGAAGUCUGCCUCAUUUCUUCAUAAAACCUCAGGCUCCUUCUGACGUUCAGUCUCCAGCCUGGCUACACAUGGCCCUGCUUCCAGCUGACUAGGCUGUGGAGAACUGCAAAAGCAAGAGAAACUUCCUCUCACCUUCCAAGGCUCCAGAGAGCUCAGAGCUUCAUAGAUGAGAUGUUGCUAGGUAAGCGUAUAAACGAAGGCUGAAGAUGUAACCUGGUGACAAUACAGCUUGGUAGCAGAGUGCUUAAAAAUUAACUAUACAUACUGAGAUUUGUUUUGGUCAUCAUCUUUUUCAGACAGGUAAGUGGUUCAGUUAUUUAUGAAUGUUAAAGCUAGGAGGGAUUUCCAUGUUCAUUUUGUUGCUGUCUGCAAUGUAGAAAAAGUCAGAGGGUUUCAUGCAGCAAUGUCUGUAUCAAGUCUGUAAUUCCAGGUGACUUCUGGCCAAUAUACAGUAUGGAAAGACAUCUAGCUUUCUUUAAGCAACUCAAAUGGUUGAAAUUCAUCUUCCACAGACCAGGUAACUUGUUCAAAUAUGUAAAAAAAAUUCUACACUGCAUAGCCCAAUAAUGCAAUGUGUGUACAUGUACAUUCUCAUUAGCCCUGCAGAGAGGCUGAGAAAAAGGAUGAAUCAUAGAAUCAUAGAAUCAACAAGGUUGGAAAAGACCCACAGGAUCACCCAAUCCAACCAUUCACCCAUCACCAAUAGUUCUCACUAAACCAUGUCUCUCAACACAGCGUCCAAACGUUCCUUGAACACCUCCAGGGUCGGUGACUCCACCACUUCCCUGGGCAGCCCAUUCCAGUGCCUGACCACCCUUUCAGAGAAGUAGUAUUUCCUAAAAUCCAGCCUGAAUCUCCCCUGACGCAGCUUGAAGCCAUUCCCUCUAGUCCUAUCACUAGUUACACGAGAGAAGAGGCCGACCCCCAGCUCACUACAACCUCCCUUCAAGUAGUUAUAGGGAGCAAUAAGGUCUCCCCUGAGCCUCCUCUUCAGUCACAGGCUAAGUGUUUUCUUGGCCUUACUUACUAGAACAGCAAUGAUCAGAACAGACUUAGCAAACUCCAGAAAGAAAACAGAGACACAAGGUAUGUCAGUGCUUACAUAGCAGCACACUCUUGGGUUUGGGCUUUCCACUACCUGUGCUCAUCUGCCAUUAUCUUCAGUAUCACUGUAUGGCUUUGUACUGUGUAAAGGUCCUCUGAGCUGUGUACAGUAAGAGAUCUAAUAGCUACAUGAAGCUAAAAUCCACCAUCAUUUUCAAAGGGUUCCAUUGUUGAGUCUGGAGAGGAGGAAGCUCAGGGGAGACUUUAUCACUCUCUACAACUGCCUGUAAAGAGAUUGUAGCAAGGUGGAGGAUCAGCCUCUUCUCCCACGUAACAGCAAUAGGAUGAGUGUUAAUGGCCUCAAGUUGUAGAAGCGGAGGUUCAUAUUGGAUAUUAGGAAAAAUUUCUUCUCAGAAAGAGUGGUGAUGCAUUGGCACAGGCUGCCCAGGGAGGUGGUGGAGUCACUGUCCUUGAAGGUGUUCAAGAAAUGUUGAGAUGUGGCACUGAGGGACGUGGGUAGCUGGCAUGGUAGGGAUGGGUUGGUGUUUGGACUAGAUGAUCUUGGAGGUCUUUUCCAACCUUAAUGAUUCUGUGAUUCCUUGAUCAUCUCUAUAACUUGUGACUUGUUCAAUACCUACAGUUUUCAUUUCUUUUUUCUCCUGAGACAAGGUAUACUGACAUUUGGUGCUCAAUCAUUCCUUCUCAAUAGGCAGAAUGACUAUCAGUUUUCUCUCCCCAGUAUGCAGGAUUAUCUUCAUAAAUGUGAAAUUUCCUCACUUGUUCCAACAUAAAUGGGCAGAAUACUGAACGCUGUAACACAAGACAUGAAAGUUGCUAAUAUAUUUUCUGUUUUCUCCCAUUCCCCUGUCUUCCUAAAUUUUACAUUUAGUAUUUCAAAGGUAGCAAAUUUUAAUUACUGAAACACAUCAAUCACUGGCUUUAGGACCACUGUGAAAAGCAAAUUAGAUUUCCUUGUGUAUUACAAAGGUCUUUCCUUUGUUUUGCAAUAAAAAUGGCAUAGCACAGCCAUGAAAAGCACAGACACAGAAAAGACAAAAGAAAAGAACUGGACUGUGAAUACAAACUGCAUAUUUAUAGUGAUUGACACAACACCUUCCGAAUCAGAGCACUGUUGACUUGCCACAUAAAGGCAUAUUUUCUAGUGUGAAGGUGAAUAGGUGCUGAAUACAGUUCAGGAACUGCAUUCAUGUACACAAGUUAGAAGGGCCAAGAAUCCCCCUGUGUUAAGGCGCUGUUAUGCAUCAAAUAUAAGAAUAGCCAAACUGGUGAGAACCAAAGUUGGCAGGAGGCAGGCUUGGAGGUUACAGCUGCCAUAAGGGGUAACCUGAGAAGGACUGAGAAUAAGGCAAGAACAGACUAUCUCCUUCUGUGAUACUCUCCCAGCCACCACCUCUUCCCAGCUCUGGUGUUAAGCCUGGUUUCUGUCUAGUUGGUAUCCCCUGAUGCAUUUUUUUUUUCCAUUCAUAUGUUCAGUCUCCCCUUCGUCCCCCCUAAACCUUCAGUGCUCACUAAAUACUAAGGCAGGCAGGCAGUAUUGCUGAUGAAUUACCUGCUGCAUUAGGAAUAACUCACUUCUGUUUGUUUUGAAGCUUGUUCCCUCUAUCUUACUCUGAUGAUCCCCGGUACUUAUAGUGGAAGAGACAGUGAACAAUCAACCCCUAUCCAUCCUCUCCAGCUCACUCCUGAUUUUAUAGCCCUCUAACAUGUUCCCUGUAAUUUGUCUCUUUUCCAGAAAGAAGAAUCUUAUCUUACUUAGCUAUUCCUUGCACAGAACACAUCCUAUAUAUUGAUAGCCCUUGACAAUCAAGGACAAUUGAACCUUUUUCCAGUUCCACUGUAUUCUUUCUGAGAUGAAAAGAACAGAACAGUACAAAGACACAGACAUGCCAUGCAUUUAUAUAAAGGCAUAAUGAUUAACUCUGUUUUGUUCUCUAUUGCUUUACCAAUAGUUCCUAACAUUUGUGAUUCUUUUUGUUCAGUACUAAGCACUGAGAUGUCACUUUCAUGCAAUUACCAACUGUAUCCUCAAAUUCUCUCUCCAAAGAAGUAAAGGUUAGGACAGAACCUCACAAUUUACAAAUGAAACUGGGACGAUGUCUUCAUGUAUGCAUUUCAUUUCAUCAUCCACCUAGUCUGCUCAAAGCUACAUUUUCACUCCUAUCUGCCUUUGCAGUUAUAUUCAGUUCAUAGCAAUGUAUCAGUAUCUACUAGGAGCACAAUACACCAAAGCCUGCACACAGAAGCCUGUAUUGCUGUUGCUUCAAGCUGAAGUGUCCUCCUGAAACAUCAGUGUGAGCAAAGCCAAGGCAGGAAGCACUGGGGAGGGGGAAAAAGAAAAAAGAAAAAAAAAUGGAACACGGAAAUACAUGAACAAAGUUUAAAGAGCUUUCCAUCAGUAAGAUAUUAACAAAUCACCUCCUUUUGGAAAUCGAUACUAUAACUUUUUGGUCAUUUUAUAAAGGAGAAGGUGAAAGUCAGCAUCUGUGUUUGUGCAUGGAAAUCUCAUCUAAGAGCUGGAAUUGAAAAUCAGGAAAGAAGUUUUAAAGGCUUAGGGAAUUUUGUCUUUAUAAUGAGUCUCCUCUGGGCAUAUCUAGCCUGUGCCACUGCUUUCCUUGUAAACUUUGAUAGUUUUUUUAUUGAGAUUAGGGGAAGUUCUUAUUACGCCAUAAUAAACUUUAAAUUUCUUUGCAAACAUGAUAAACAAAGCCCAGAAAAUCACUAGAGAAGUCCUUCUGGGGAGACACAGAACAGAGAUCUUGAACUUGUUUGUACUGACUUCAGUGAAGAGACAUUAUCACAUACAGCAUCAUACAUUUGUAUGAACUCAUGGUAUUUUGCCAAUGUGCAGUAAUGCAGUUUUGGCCUAUGAUCCAAAUUAUGACUGAAAGAGUGAUUUCUGGUUCUAAUUUUAGGUGUGUUUUCUGCAAGGCUAUUACCACUUACAUACCUUUUUAAUGCUUUUUUGGCACACACCCAUUAAUUGCUCACUGAAAAAUCUGGGGAGGGUAUGUUGAGGGUUGUUUUCCACCAUUUUACUUAUCCUAAUUUUCCCUAACUUUUGGCCCCAGACAAAGUACUUUAUUUCACGAUAGCAUUCCAUCAAACAGCCUUGCGGUAGCUUAAAGGCUGACAGCUCAUUCAAAGUGAAUAACUUUAUAACAACAGUUGCAAAACAUUUUUUUUGUUAUACGGUAUAGCUAUUUUAGUCAAAUUUCCAUAAAGCACCCUCUUUCCUGCUCCACGCAUACUUCAGAGGGCUGCAGAACAUUUCAU